CCCAUCUUUUUUUAUUUUUACAUUUUGAGGGGCUAUGUUUUUAACGACCGAUUUUUACUGGUCGUGUUGAGUUGCGGGUGUUUUUUUUUUCGUUUAGUUAGCCGAGCCUAACAGCGUCUUUUCUUCCUCGGUGCUGUUAUCUUCGUUUUGUGUACAGCUUGCCACCGAGCAGCGUUUGACUCUUGUGUCAAACCCAAAUGGAGCUAUAUAACCUACCCUCCAAAGAAGAGAAAAACACACACAAAACAACUCUGAAUACCUUUUUUUUUUUUUGUUGAGUUGUAAAGCCUUUUAUUUUUUUGCGGAAAACCAAGAAGACAUACACGCAAAUGUUCUUCUUUUCGUAUAGAAAUAUUAGGAUUUCUUCGUGGGGCUUUCCGCACGAAAAAUCAACAAAAAAGGCUCUGUUUUCUUUUGGGUGGCUUUUUUUUUUAACACACGAGGAACGAGAAUAUACAUAAGAGCGAGAAAAGAAAAAUCAGGAUGUGUGUUGAAUCUAGACACACACGCAACGAAGCCGAGAAGACUUGACGAUAAGACGUUUCGGUGGGACGAUGGAGAGAGAACAAAUAGACGACGAAGAGAAAGGCAAGUAACCUCAGAGACCACGUUGGGGUUUGAGGUCGUUAAAAAAAAGGAAAAAAAACAACUCUAAACACGAGGAAAGGAAAAAAAAGAAAAGAGGCACAGAGAGAGAGAGAAGGGCGACAUUAAAAAACACCUAUACGCCAUCGAGAAAAAGAACUUGCGGCGUAAUGUGGUAUGAUGAUGUGCUUCUGCUGCUGUUAAAAACUUGUUGCUGCCGUAGGUGCGGGCGCCGCAGGUCAACUCAACUACCUUUACCUUCUAUCGCUUUGGCUCUGCGAGCGGUGGCGGUCGUAUACGAUAAUGGCAAUAAUUGACUUUUAAUGACGCUGAAAAAAGGAAAAAAAAAAGGGAAUGAGGCUCCUUUUUUUUUCUACUUUACUUCUUACAUUUAUUUAAAAAAAAACUGAAAUAAAAUAUUUAGUUGCGCACGUUCCCGAUCCUUUUGGCCAUUUCACCUUUGGAAAACUAUUAGACUUUUUGCGUUAACACUCUGCGUUUUUUUUUUUAAUUCGGAUUCUAAAUGUACCAUCUCCAUUUUAGUUUUUUUUUUUCGUGUCGCAAAGGUAAAAAUAGAUUUUAGAUUUUAUUUUUUUUUUUUACAUUUUUAAAGCGUCAUUUUAAACGGAGCGGCAACAGGUCACCGAUUGUUCUGUUUGUGUUUUGCCUACAUGACAAGUGCUUCGAGAGAGAACUUGUGAUGAGGUUCGAGAAAGUUGACGUCGUCGUGCUAUGUAUGCGUGGCCCGCUUGUCCCUCUGCCCGUCUGUGUUUGCAUGACUAUUUGGUUAUGAAAUCUUCGCCCAAAAAAGAAGAAGAAAACCAAAAAAAAAAAAAAACAGUUCGGCUCUCUCCUUUUUUUUUUCUUCCUCCCCUCACCGUCUUGUUUAUACAAGAGAGUCACCUUUAUUUUUAUUUUUUUAUAUUUUCCUUGAAAAAAGAUUUUGGACAGAGAAAGAAAAAUGGAGACGACGUGGCACACAGAACACACAAGACAAAGGGAAAGUAUAUUUUAUUUGAAAGGAAGAUCUUGUUGGGAGUAAAAGAAAAAGAGAUUAAAAACACCGAAAAAGCCACCACCAGUGCGCACACACACGAGGUUGAUUUUCCAGCACAGCAGGAUGUCCUUUGCCUGCGUUGGAAGAUUUUUCUCCGACGUAACUACACAGUGCCCCCAUCAUCUUUUUUUUUUUUUUUCAUUCCUUUUCCCUGUUCUGUUUCUUUUCCCUUUUUUUUUUUUUUAUUAUUAUUAUCUGGGAUACCAACCCAAAAUCCAAUCAUUCAUUUUCUCGUUCGCAAUCAAGAGCCGCAAGGAAAUGUUUCUAAAUAUAGACACACACACAAAAGAAAGAAAUUUUCGUUCGAACAAAGACAAAAUAAAAAAGUUGGAAAUCGAAUCGUUUUCUCAUUUUUUUUUAUGGAAUAUCGAAACAAAAGACGAGCUAUUUUUUUUUUGCUUCAAGUGCACCAGGUAAAUGGCCUACGUGUAGGAUUUGGGUGGGGGAGAAAGUCACGGAGAAAGAAAAAAGGGGGAAACUUUUUUAUAAAGAUUGUUAUUAAAUUAAAUUAGACUGUAGUUUUGAAAUGGCGAAUAACAAUUUUUUAGAACAAUAAAAAUGAAGGAUUGUGGGCGGCACGGAUUGCCUCCGCAAAACAUUGCCAAAUUGUUCCGAUAUUGUUCGCCGUUAUAGAAAAACACGUGAUUGGAUUUCUUCCCUCCAUCUCCUCCUCAAGUAACCCCUUUAUCUUUUUUUUUUCAAAGAGAUAAAAGAAAAUCCUACAUUUUUUUGUUUUUAACCCCCUCCCACCUUUUUUUUUUUCGACGAUGGCCAAAUUAUAUAGCCGGAGUAGGUUGGUUACAUUUCUGCACUGGAUGAGCGAGAGAGAGAGAGGUCUGGGGUAGUGCAGGUGCGGCAUAUAAAGAUGGGACAGCAAUGGGAGUGUUUCGGUACAAGUAACGCCCCCCGGGAACUUGAAAAAAACAGAACACAGUAUUUUUCUUUAGUGCUGCUGGUGAUCCAGAACCUGCAAAUUAUUGGCAAUCGUUCAACUUAAAAAAAAAAAAAAAAUGCUUGUCUAACCAUGGGGGAUGGGAGUGCAAGUUUUGGUUAAGGGCAUCGGUGCAAGAAAACUAAAAAAAAGGGGAGCAAAAUAGGAUGGAUCUUAUACCUUCUUGCGGGACCCCCAAAAAGAUUGCGCUGAUAGUGUGAACCUCCUUUGGAAAACUGAAUAAAAAAAGCGGCCAGAGAAAGUUAUGAUCGGUCAUUUCGUUGGAGGCGACAAGGAACAUUGUAACUAGGCAAAUAACAACCAACCAACAACACGACACUGUAAUAACGAAGGACAAGCGGCUUCGAUUCACACAACCCGGCGCCACCAAUGCCAAACAAGAAAAUUACUAAUAAAAAGGAUUAUUUUCUUCUGAUAUCGAAGUCUCUUCUUUCUGCUCGGCUGUAUGUCUACGUCCCAUGUAUCGUAUGUAAAAUAUCUGCGUUCAUUGUUGCGCGGGGGUGGCCGUAUACCAAGAGAAAGGGGAGCGUGACACCCGCAAAGAGGGCUGCGUGAAACUCGAGACACACGCGCGAGCGAAGAGAAAAUAUGCAGGCAAAACUUGAAAUGAAAGAGAAAAAAGAAAAUGCCUCUCACGAUGUUUCCGUUCACUUCACACAAUCGCCCGCCGGAGCCUAUAAACGGGCAGCGAUUAUUGGGUUACACUGUGAGCGGCGUUCUAGUGCGUCGGCGAGAUCCAUAGGAACGUGAACGACGAUCGGUAUACCAUCGGCACGCCUCUCUAAAAAGUCUACCAGACGCAGACCGCACGCAGGAGCAGCAGCAAAAAAAAUGUAAAUGAGCCCAUUACGUAAAUUGGCUGUUCAAAAAGUCUCUCACAGCCCAUCUGAUUUUUUGUUGUUGUUGUUGAUUUUUUAUUUAUUUGACUUUGCGGGCGCGUGUUUCGUGGCCGGCGCAAAUUGGGAACAAACCGGAGGAAGUGACGUCAUCUCUGCGUAAUCGUAUAUUUAAAAAAAAAAAAGAAAAGAAAAACGCGUAGUACAGUGAAAACAUAUUCAAAGGCGGACUCCUCCAAUUCCCACGUCCGGAAUGUCUUCCAGCCGCGUCAAUCACGAAUCGUAGCAGCACAAAGAUACCAAUUAGUCUCCGCCCUUUACGUCUAUGUAUAUCCGUUCCUCCUCUUUUUACCAAUGUUGGAAAAUUCUGAAAGGGCUUCGGUCAUCAUUCAUAGACAUUUUUUUGUUUAAUGUUCACGUAUAGGAAUCGAGUGAGGAAGAGAGAGGACGUCCUAAUUAUAUAGACAUGUGGUAAUGUCAUAAUAUUCCUGAUUUUGACUUCCUUUCAUGUAGCAUACUGUUUUUGAAUAAAAUAAACGCUGGCUGUCUGAUUCAUUUCCUCCAUUUA
rnacentral:lncRNA from 1 species